UACGAAGGGGGCUAGCGUUGCUCGGAAUUACUGGGCGUAAAGCGUGCGCAGGCGGUUUUGUAAGCCAGAUGUGAAAGCCCCGGGCUUAACCUGGGAAUGGCAUUUGGGACUGCAAGGCUGGAGUGUGGCAGAGGAGACUGGAAUUCCUGGUGUAGCAGUGAAAUGCGUAGAUAUCAGGAGGAAUACCGAUGGCGAAGGCAGGUCUCUGGGCUGACACUGACGCUCAUGCACGAAAGCGUGGGGAGCAAACAGG
rnacentral:rRNA from 1 species